GUGAGGGCUGGAGCCCAUCGUUGACAGGAUGUGCCUUGUUUCCCCUUCACCUUCUGCCAUGAUUGUCAGUUUCCUGAGUCCUCCCCAGCCACGCAGAACUGUGAGUCAAUUAAUCCUCUUUUGUUCAUAAAUUACCCAGUCUCAGGUAUUCUUUAUAGCAGUGUGAAAACACACUAAUACAGAGCUACUAUUUCUGUGUCACAAUUUCAUUAUAUUUUUUGUUUAAUUAUAAGCUGUUUCAAGUAUUUGGGGGGAGUAAGAAAGAGGUUUAGAUAAAAUGACUUUUAAGAUGGGGAACACAAAACCCCAAUAAAAACUUAAAUUUACCGAGAUAUUUACUGGCAGAGCUGGAACUGGGAUUACAGUUUCCCAAAUUUUAGUUCAUGAUAUUUCCUCUCUUCUACAUGAAAUGAAUGGUGAGGUUUUCCUUCUUAAUCAUUUUAUGUCUGUUUUUAAAAAUAUGGCAGUUCCACAAACAUCGUGGCUGGAUGUUGUUUGCUGGAACCUGUGCCCCAGCUUUUGAAGGCCACCCCUCCCUGCCUUAUUUGUUGUUUUCAAAGGCAGUUUUUCUAUAAUGCAGUGCUGGGUGCCUGGGGUUUGCCAGCAAACAGAAUGAAAAGAUAAAGGUCGUAUAUUUCCUGCUACACUAAACGGUCCCUCAAAAAUGCAGACCACCACUGUUCUGUCAGCCUUUCUGCAAAGGGAUGGCAAAUAUCUACCUUGAAUAAAAGCAUGUUAAAAAAAAAUAAAACACUUUGGCAAGCAGAGAGGUGAGUCAUAUUUCAACAAAGGAUUAAUGCAAGUCCUGUUUUGUUUGUUUUGAGAACUCAGUCAUUUUUUUAAUCAGGUAGUUAUGAGAAUUUUCAAUUCUAUUUUAUAAAAAACAACCCAACUUAAUCCUGUGAUGAACUAUGACUUUUAUUGACCUUUUACAAAAAGUACAAGAAAGCUAUUGAUAAAUCUUUUCUUUCUUUUUUGUAAAAAAAAAAAAAGAAAAGAAAAGAAAAGAAAAAGAAUCCAGAUGAAACACAAAACACAAACCGCAGUGUAUGGGAUGGCGAACGUCGUUGACUUUCAAGGCGCCCUCUACUGGCAAUGGCUUUAAAUUUUUAAAUGUCUAUUAUAUUAUAGGCUUUGGAAUUUCACUCUUUAACCAAAUAAGAUUUUCAAUACAUUAGUAGAAAGAAAACUCAUGCAGGAAAGAAAGCCCCAGAUAUUUUAUCUCAGGAAUAUAAAUAAGCGAAUAUAUACAAAAGUAUCAGGCAUUAUUUUACAUAUCCUGAAAACUAUGCGUUGUUAAUAGGAAGAAGAAUGAUACAGUUGGUUGUUCAUCAAAGAUUUAUUGAGCGCUUAUAAGAGGCACCAUGUCAGGCAUUGGGGUCACAGAGGUGAGGCUGACGUGACCCCCACAUCAAGGGUCCUAGUCUUGUGAGGGAGUCAGACCUACCUGCAGACAAUUACCAUGUCAUGUGUGGAGUGCAGUGUGAGACCCGAGGAACGACCCCUAAAUCCUCCUGAGAAAGGAGUUAGGAAAGGCUCCUGGAGGAGGCUGGCAAAGAAAUACAAGAACAGUGAAAAGCACUCUAAGGAGAAGGAAGGGUGUUCGGUAAGAGAACAUGGCGCAUGUGCGGAACACGAACAGAACCGCGGUAAUAAGUUCCGGGUUGGCUAGCUGUACCACAGCACGAUGUGCAGGGACGGCCAGGAGAGGAUGCUACAGAGCAGCAGCUCUCAAACUUUUCAGUCUCAGGACUUUACAAUCUUAAACAUUAUUGAGGACCCUUCCCCCUCCCCCACGAAGAGCUUUUGUUUAUGUGGGCUUCAUUUAUUGAUGUUUACUUUUUUUUUUUUUUUUUUU
rnacentral:lncRNA from 10 species